CUGCCAUUCAUGUCCCGACCCCAGGGCCCUUGCACAGGACCUUAUUUGGAAGCAGGGUCUUUGCAGGUGUGAUGAAGGGAAGGUUGGAGAGGAGGGCUUCCUGGAGGAGGUGGCCCUGAAUCAAGGAUGGACAGGAGGGCGUCCUGGAGGAGGUGGCCCUGAAUCAAGGAUGGAGAGGAGGGCUUCCUGGAGGAGGCGGCCCUGAAUCCAAGGAUGGAGAGGAGGGCUUCCUGGAGGAGGCGGCCCUGAAUCCAAGGCUGGAGAGGAGGGCUUCCUGGAGGAGGCGGCCCUGAAUCCAAGGAUGGAGAGGAGGGCUUCCUGGAGGAGGCGGCCCUGAAUCAAGGAUGGAGAGGAGGGCUUCCUGGAGGAGGCGGCCCUGAAUCCAAGGACAGCGUCCUCCUCAGAGACAGAAGAGGAGACGCAGACGCAGAGGAGCAGCCCCGUGAGGACGGAGGCAGAGACGGGAGGGAGGCGGCCACCAGCCCAGGGACCCUGGAGCCCUGGAUGCUGGAAGAGGCAGGAGGGAUGCCCCCCUGGAGCCUCCAGAGGGAGCGUGGCCCUGCGACCCUUGACCUCAGACUCCGGGCUCCAGGAUGGGGGAGGGCAGAUGGGGUGGCCUGCUGGUUAGCGCCCAGCCUUGAGGUCUGUAAGUCGCUUGUGAACACACA
rnacentral:lncRNA from 1 species